rnacentral:lncRNA from 1 species
CCAUCGUCAUUUCAUCGACUGUGCAGAUGACAUAUUACCAAUAAGUUAUCUAACAAAGUGUCAACAGUUGCUACGAUGCUAAUGCUUUGAAUUUAUUUUAUCAAAUUAUUAAAUUUUCUCCUUAAUUUGUAGACUCGUGACUCCAUCCGGCGGUGCCUUUCCAUCAGGUUCUUUCUCCUUCCGAAAUCGCUUUCCGCAAGAUCAUCUUUCUUCUCUGGUUGCGUGUUCGUUUCGUAUCGGGUUUACCACUGAUGGUGUGUGUUGAAAAGAACUUUGGUGGCUUGAAAUCGUACGACUUCGCUUAAAAAAACACAAAAAACCAAAAUCAGAAAACAUAAAACGAAAUUAGAAGAAAAAUUAUACCUAGCCGGUGAAUUCUAGUGAGAUCACAACGGCGAUUUCAAUUUCAGAAUUAGUAUCGUGAAUCUUUAAUCAGCAGCGUAAAAUCAAUUUGAUUCGGGCAAUGAAAUCCAAACGACGAUACUCUAAAUCGAAACAAGAAUGUCAACGGAAAAUAGUGAAAAGCUAAAUACCGUGCAGAGAUCCUAGUAGGGUCAAUUAUUUAAG